rnacentral:rRNA from 1 species
CGCUGUCACUCCUACGGGAGGCAGCAGUAGGGAAUCUUCGGCAAUGGGGGGAACCCUGACCGAGCAACGCCGCGUGAGUGAAGAAGGUUUUCGGAUCGUAAAGCUCUGUUGUAAGAGAAGAACGGGUGUGAGAGUGGAAAGUUCACACUGUGACGGUAUCUUACCAGAAAGGGACGGCUAACUACGUGCCAGCAGCCGCGGUAAUACGUAGGUCCCGAGCGUUGUCCGGAUUUAUUGGGCGUAAAGCGAGCGCAGGCGGUUAGAUAAGUCUGAAGUUAAAGGCUGUGGCUUAACCAUAGUAUGCUUUGGAAACUGUUUAACUUGAGUGCAGAAGGGGAGAGUGGAAUUCCAUGUGUAGCGGUGAAAAUGCGUAGAUAUAUGGAGGAACACCGGUGGCGAAAGCGGCUCUCUGGUCUGUAACUGACGCUGAGGCUCGAAAGCGUGGGGAGCAAACAGGAUUAGAUACCCUGGUAG